GGGUCGGAGAGUGAUGAGCAAUUUUCUUUCCCCAUCUGAUCGACGAUGCGGAUGACUCCACUUGUUAAGCCAGUGCGACUGACUCUGACCC